CACCUUUCCUGUAUCAUUUAUCUUAUAUUUUCAACUGGGACAAUUACUUGUAUAUUCCUGAAAAGUUUCUGAAUUUCAUAUUUACUUUUUUCAGAAAAUUAAUAUUAAAAAUAUUUUUUAAGAUUCAAAAAUUUUUGAAUAUAUCUCUAGAAUUAAAUUUUGUUAGUAAACUGUUAGGUAAACUAAUAUUAAAAAUACAUUUUUAAUUUUCCAAAGUCUUUCAAACAUACACCUAGAGUUAAAUUUUAUUAGUGAGCUGAUAGAAAGGGUCGUUAUCUCUGUAAAAUUAUCAUUUUACCCUUUCAUAUAUAUAUCCUUCGACAGUCAGUAACUUUUCUUAUUUGCCCUUAACUUAUGAGUAAAAGAAAGUAUAUUGACUUUUUGCCUUUUCAAAUAUACUCUUCUAUUGUUAUCAAUUUUUUUUAUUUGCCCUUAAAUUAGGGACAAAAUAGGUGCUUUUAUUAUUUUUUUAAUUAUGGUGGAAAUUUAACUCGGAUUUAUCUCAAGAUAGUUUAAUAGAAACUAACAACAUGGAUAUUUUUUAAUGAGAGAGAAAUAUACGAGGGGUAUAUUUGAAACAAAAAAAAAAGUAAGAAUAAAUGAAAUAUUUCAAAAAUUUUGAAGGGUAUAUAGGCGAUUAUCCCUUUCAAUUAAAUCAACCGUUCUCUUUUUUAUUAAAAAAAAAA
rnacentral:lncRNA from 1 species